AUGGCCGACGGCAGCGACGGGGAGGGCGCGGGCGAGAGCUGCUGGCCGCCCCCCGCCGCCGCCGCCUCAGCCCACGGCGGCGGCGGCGGCGGGGUGCAGCUGUCCGACGUCCGGCGGGAGAUCUACGACCGCCUGCGCGCCGUCGGCAACCACGAGGCGCUCUCCGACCCCUUCUUCGACCGCGUGCUCGAGGACCACUACGACCGCCUCCCGGCCAGCUACUACAUCGACCUGGACGUGAACAAGGCCGAGGACGUGCUGCUGCACCGCCGGAUCCUCGCCGAGUGCGCCGACCCCGACAACCGCCCCGUCUUCCACGCACGCUUCCUACGGUACCUUCAUGACGACAAACCGUCGGAUGCCGACUCUGCUCCGAAUCAAAACGGUAAUUGUGGGGGCUCUCUGGCUUCCAAUCUGAGCAACAGCAACAGCAACGGCGGGUUAAAAGGAUUUGACGAGCGGCUCAUGGAAGACCUCAGCUUGGGGCGAAGAAAAGGCAUCGACGACUUCGAGGCCAUCUCCGCAAGGAGGGAUACAGAAAUUCCCCUUCUUCAUGAAAUUAUCUUUUCUUCCAAUGACAAGCCAAAGCUCCUUAGUCAGCUAUCUACGCUGCUGUCGGAUCUUGGAUUGAACAUUCGUGAAGCUCAUGUGUUCUCCACAACGGAUGGAUUGUGUUUGGAUGUGUUUGUUGUUGAUGGCUGGGAAACAGAGGAGACAGAUGGUUUGCUGCAGCAGCUUAAGGAGACAGCAAAACGUAAUCCCUCAUUAUCGAAUCUAACAAGUUCAGCCUCGGAGAGAAUAUCAGAGCUGCAAGAAAAGAUUGGAGAAUCUGAAUUUGACAGGGAUCUGUUGCAGAUUGUAGAAAAGAUUGCGUCCGGAUCUUCUGGAGACUUAUAUCGAGGAACUUACCUUGAUGUGGAUGUUGCAAUAAAAUUCCUUAGAACUGAACAUGUUAACGAUAAUUCAAAAGUGGAGUUUUUGCAAGAAAUAAUGAUUUUAAGCGUUAAUCAUGAAAAUGUCGUUCGCUUUUACGGGGCUUGCACAAAACAGCGAAAGUAUCUCAUUGUAACGGAGUACAUGGCUGGAGGCAAUCUGUAUGACUUCCUUCACAAGCAUAACAAUACCUUGGAGCUUUCCUUGAUUCUUAAGAUUGCUAUUGGCAUCUCGAAAGGGAUGGAUUAUUUGCACCAGAAUAACAUCAUCCAUAGAGACUUGAAGUCUGCCAAUUUAUUAAUUGGUGAUGGUCAAGUCGUGAAGAUUGCAGAUUUUGGUGUCUCUCGUCAACGAUCGCAACAGGGAGAUAUGACUGCUGAAACUGGCACCUACAGAUGGAUGGCACCUGAGGUGAUAAACCAUAAGCCUUAUGAUCACAAGGCAGAUGUCUUCAGCUUUGCUAUUGUUCUAUGGGAGUUGGUCACUUCAAAGGUCCCGUAUGAGAACCUGACACCAUUGCAAGCGGCACUGUCAGUGAGGCAGGGACUUCGCUUGGUGAUUCCCUCGGGCGUGCAUCCGAGAAUAUCUAAAUUGAUUCAACGGUGCUGGGGCGAAAACCCCCAUACACGACCUGUUUUCUCUGAGAUCACCGCGGAACUUGAAGAUAUCUUGCAGCCUAUUCAGGCCGCCUCCAGCUCCAAAGGAGGCCAUCGACAUACCAAACAAAAGAUACAGAUGAAAUCACAGCGAUAG
rnacentral:rRNA from 1 species